AUGCAGCUCUGGUCGCUGGAGGGGGCGGCGGAGAUCAUCGGCGACAAGUGCAUCGUCGAUCGGCUCGACACGCGCACCCACGAACGCGGCCACACCAAGACUUUCGCGUGUUGGGUGUGGGUGUGGGACGUCGCCAACAUCCCCACCAGGCGCAUCAUCUGGAGGGCGAAGCGAGGGGCGGGGCGCGUCGAGGCCAUGCUCGGGCACUCGCCGCCCAGCCGUGAGGUCGCACCGCCACCUGGAGUCAGAAGGCACGACAUGCUGGUCCACGUCGACAGGGUCGAGGACUGGACCCCGCCGUCCCCACGCCCCUCUCGCUCCGCCCGGAGUGGCCUCCCCUCCUCGGGCUCCGACGACGGCGCCCCCUUCCCAGCCGUCUACCCGGGCACCUGGACCCGACGGGUGGAGGACGGGCAGGGCCACGCCAGAAGGCAGCCACAGGCGGUGGCCCCUUCUGGCUGCCAGGGUCUGCAGCUGGGCGGCGCUCACCGCGACCACGACGACCCAGACGGCGAUGGCCACGUCAACCGCCGCUCAUGGAAGGAUACGCUGCUGGGCCGGGGCCACACCAGCCGGCCGCCUACGGCAGCGAAGGACCAGGCGCAGCAGCACCGCAAGCGCAGCAGAACCCCGACCAGCAGGCACCGGGACAAGGGCUGCCGCGGCCGAGACGCGGCCAUCCGCGUCACCCCCCCCCCCUCUUCCACUGCGACGUGCGCCGUCCCCGACUCCACCGCCACCACCACCACCACCUCGACCCCCGCCGCCUCCCUCGGGGGCUGGCCGCGUCCAAGACCCGGUCGAGAUGUUCUUCCAGGACGAGUCCGCCGAGCUGUCCCCGCUAGCGCGUGUUGA
rnacentral:rRNA from 1 species